rnacentral:miRNA from 14 species
UAUUGGAGAUUCGUUCCAAACU